GCUUGGGAAUGAUUUAUAACCUACUACUUUGCUCCUUCCAACUCUUCUCUCACAUUUCACUUUUCACUCACUCUGCUCUCAUCAAACCCUCCAGAUGUACUAGAAACAAGGUCAACUUCACAUCUCCUCCUCCCCAGCCCAACUGCACCCAACGUUUCGCUCCUCUCCUUAGUCUCUCCACCCGGGGAGGGGCCUCUCCUGAACCUGUACCCUACCCAUUCCCAUGCUAGAGAACCCACAGCUCUGUGGCCACCGCCGCUGUGGACAUCCCUCCCUCGGACACCCUCCCACAGACACCUCUCCUGAGACUCUCCUGGCCUCUACGAUGUCUUGUUCAGAGAGCAGGAGCCCACGGACCUGUGGAAAGGGCGAUGGAAACAUUCCUGCUCCGGCGAUCACCCUUGAAUGCCACCAAGGAGACAGGGAAUAACAAUGGAAGUCACCUGAGCAGCAAGAGGAGUUGCCCCAAAUUCUAUUGAAACAACUUCCUUCACUAUCCUCAUGGUAAAUGAAGUUUUUUUAACAGUAAACUCUCCUAAAACACACCAGAGUCCCUCAUCACAGAUCCCAACAGAUCAUUCCAUAGUGAUGACCCUAGUUUGUUUUUCUCCUCCCUGCUGUUACCUGUCGA